GAUGAACGCUGGCGGCGUGCCUAAUACAUGCAAGUCGAGCGAAUGGAUUAAGAGCUUGCUCUUAUGAAGUUAGCGGCGGACGGGUGAGUAACACGUGGGUAACCUGCCCAUAAGACUGGGAUAACUCCGGGAAACCGGGGCUAAUACCGGAUAACAUUUUGAACCGCAUGGUUCGAAAUUGAAAGGCGGCUUCGGCUGUCACUUAUGGAUGGACCCGCGUCGCAUUAGCUAGUUGGUGAGGUAACGGCUCACCAAGGCAACGAUGCGUAGCCGACCCGGGAGGGCGAUCGGACACACUGGGACUGAAACACGGACCAGACUCCUACGGGAGGCAGCAGUAGGGAAUCUUCCGCAAUGGACGAAAGUCUGACGGAGCAACGCCGCGUGAGUGAUGAAGGCUUUCGGGUCGUAAAACUCUGUUGUUAGGGAAGAACAAGUGCUAGUUGAAUAAGCUGGCACCUUGACGGUACCUAACCAGAAAGCCACGGCUAACUACGUGCCAGCAGCCGCGGUAA
rnacentral:rRNA from 1 species